rnacentral:rRNA from 1 species
UACGUAGGGUGCUAGCGUUGUCCGGAUUUAUUGGGCGUAAAGGGCUCGUAGGCGGCGUGUCGCGUCUGCUGUGAAAACUGGAGGCUCAACCUCCAGCCUGCAGUGGGUACGGGCAGACUAGAGUGCGGUAGGGGAGAUUGGAAUUCCUGGUGUAGCGGUGGAAUGCGCAGAUAUCAGGAGGAACACCGAUGGCGAAGGCAGAUCUCUGGGCCGUAACUGACGCUGAGGAGCGAAAGCAUGGGGAGCGAACAGG